AAAUAUAGGUUCAUAAAAAAACUUGUCUAAUGACCAACUUUAUGAUUUAGAAGAUGUCAUGUCUGGAAGAAUUGUAGGCAAAAAACUAUAACAUGAAUGGCACGAUCCAAAUAUAUUCAAGCUUGUUUUGUAUAAUGGCAGAGUAGAAAAAGUUAGUAGCAGAAAAAAUGACUUUGUUUACACUAUUUCUUACUGGAAAGAUGACGAAACAGAUAUGAAAGCUGUCGAUCAUUGUAUGAAAAAGAUCCAGCUUGUUGCAGAUGUUAUUUUAGGAGAGUUACAAUUUUAUUAAUUUUAUAUUAUCUUAUUAAAACACUGUGAUAGUAUAAAUUUGAAAAUCAUAAGCAAAACAAAGUACUGCAUGUGCUGUGACAUGCAAAAAAAGUACUGCAAGUGUUGUGACUUGCUAAAAAAAAGUACUGCAUGUGCUGUGACAUGCUAAACAAAGUACUGCAUGUGCUGUGACAUGCAAAAAAAAGUACUGCAAGUGUUGUGACUUGUUAAACAAAAGUACUGCAAGUGUUGUGACUUGCUAAAAUAAAGUACUGCAUGUGCUGUGACAUGCUAAAAAAAAGUACUGCGUGUGCUGUGACAUGCUAAGAAAAAGUAUUGCAUGUGAUGUGACAUGCUAAAAAAAGUACUGCAAGUGUUGUGACUUGCUAAACAAAAGUACUGCAAGUGUUGUGACUUGCUAAACAAAAGUACCGCAAGUGUUGUGACUUGUUAAAAAUAAGUACUGCAUGUGCUGUGACAUGCUAAAAAAGUACUGCAAGUGUUGUUACUUGUUAUGGCUUUUUGAUAUACGGCUCUGGCUUACCUUCACGUGGUGUCUAUUGUUAAAAAUGAUUAUAAAAUAACUUCAUUAGUGGAAUUUAUUAUUGUAAUCAUUCACUAAAAGCUAAGACAAAACUAUAGAAAUAAAGCAUCAUUAAAAUAAUUGAACAUUAUUCAGUGUUAAUAACAUUUUUAUUUUUUUAUUUUGAAGCAGCCAAACCUCUUGUUAACCAAGCUACUGUCAAGCACUAUAUGAAAAAUUGAAAGAUUUAUAAAGGCAGGGAAAGGGGAAAUGACCCUACUUAUUUGACAAAGGAUGCAACACUAAUGUAACUUUUGACCGAGGUGUGUUAAAACUUCAUCAACACAUUUAACAUUAGUUUUACAUUUACCUUCAAUGUUUUGUAGUUGUCCGGUAUUAAUUUAUAGAACUUUUUGUUAUACAGAAAAAAACUUUUAAAGACUUUAUGAAAACAGUAUUUGUGUUAUUUAAAUUUUUUUUUUUUAGGUUGGGGCGGGGGAGGGGGUAUUAGACCCCCCCUCCAUACAUCAACGCCCACUUGUGUAUGCAAAUUCUUGUAAAACAUAUUUUUAUUAUGUAUACUAUUGAAUUCAUUGUAAUAAAGAUAAAAAUAUUUAUGAAAAAAGUCAUAUUUAAUACUAGGGUGUAUCAAACCAUCACCACCGCACCCAGCUUCAUUGUUAACAUACGCCUCUCAUAUCAUCUUUGGUUUAAUAUAAUUUUAUAACAACUUUUUUUGUUUAUUUAAAUAACUUCUGUUUAAAAAAAAAACUUUUUUUCUGAAAAAAAUGAUCAUUUUCAUACGGGUAAGGUGGUAGUUUGGUGCCCUCUCUGUUCAUCUGUUACGCCCGAUGGUUAGAGUUUAACGAAAAUUUGUAGUCCACUCUUAAACCUGUUUUUUGACACCAAGAUAUUUGUAUUUCGAUAAGAAUUAAAAAAGUUAUGACAAUUUAAGUGAGGAAAAACAUGAUUUUGACCUCAGUUUCUUCAACAAUUUCAUAUAUCGAAAAAUUGAUACUUAAACCGUCAUAACUUUUGAACCAAUUGUUUGAUUUUUAAAAAUUUUUUACCUUUAAAAUACUGUAUUGAUCCUCUUUCCAAUGAUAUAUAACUGUAGAAUAUUUAAACAAUUUGAAAUUUUUACUCGCGUACCUAUAUACAUAUUUUGACAUUUGCGAAACAUUAAAGUACCUUGUUAAUACUUAGCAUUUCCUUGCGCACCAAGUAUGGCGUAAAAGUAUGCUCCAUUUUAUCUUCCUUAUACUCUGAACAAAUUUUUCCUGGAUGAUGCAAUAUGAUGCCAACUAACGCAAAACAACGUUGGCCCGACAGCAAAUUUAACGUAGUUGGGUCAACAAACGCAGAACAACGAUGGCCCGACAGCAAAUAUAACGUAGUUGCGCCAGCUAACACAAAACAAUGUUGACCCAACAGCAAAUCCAACUUAGUUGCGCAAACUAACACAAAAUAAGGUUGGCCCAACGAUACAGGCUGCUUGGGUAGGAGCCCAAUAAAGACGUCGUUUGUUUAUUCUUUAUCUAAAUUAACUUCAGGUAUUUAUUAGGACAUUUGUUUUACAAUUUUUAUGCUUGACUUUUUGUUGUUUCUAGUAUAUUAGAGGUGACUAGACAAUCGUGAUGUUUUCUGGCCAUUUUUUAAGUGUUAUUGAAUGAUUAGAAAAUAUAACAGACAAUGUUUAAAAACAAAUACAAAUAUUAGACAACUUUAAAAAACAAAACCUUUUUUAUAUACAGAAACUAUAAAAAUAACAUGUUUGCACGUUAAAAAAAUGCAAUAACUCGGUAAUGCGCAAAACAGUUUCAUGAAGCUAUAUUUUCAAGCACUAUCACUAUAAGACAAUUUUUGUGUCUAUUUUCUUAAUAUGUACAGGGGAAGGAAAUGACAAAUAAAGUUUGUAUGCACAAAUUGAACGAAUGGCAUCUUGACUGAUAUUGUAUCUAUCUGAAACUAUAUUAUAUUUGUAUAUUGUUAUUUAUACUUAUGCAAUUCAGAUGAAAGUUUCUCUAGUUAGUCAGGAGCGGAUCCAGACUAUCUAUUAAGGGUUCGUUCUCGCUAGCAAUAAUAGAUUAAAUAAGUAUUGAGAGUAGUUGGCGUCUACUGCAAAAAGUAAUUUAAAAAAAUUAUUUUUAUAUAUAUAUAUUUAUAUAUAUAUUUAAACUAUUUUUAUUUAUAUAUAUUUUUAUUUACAUAUAUUUAACUAUAUAUAUAAUAAAAUU
rnacentral:lncRNA from 1 species